rnacentral:rRNA from 1 species
AACGAACGCUGGCGGCAGGCUUAACACAUGCAAGUCGAGCGCUCCGCAAGGGGAGCGGCAGACGGGUGAGUAACGCGUGGGAAUCUACCGUGCCCUACGGAAUAGCUCCGGGAAACUGGAAUUAAUACCGUAUACGCCCUACGGGGGAAAGAUUUAUCGGGGUAUGAUGAGCCCGCGUUGGAUUAGCUAGUUGGUGGGGUAAAGGCCUACCAAGGCGACGAUCCAUAGCUGGUCUGAGAGGAUGAUCAGCCACAUUGGGACUGAGACACGGCCCAAACUCCUACGGGAGGCAGCAGUGGGGAAUAUUGGACAAUGGGCGCAAGCCUGAUCCAGCCAUGCCGCGUGAGUGAUGAAGGUCUUAGGAUUGUAAAGCUCUUUCACCGGUGAAGAUAAUGACGGUAACCGGAGAAGAAGCCCCGGCUAACUUCGUGCCAGCCGCCGCGGUAACAC